rnacentral:rRNA from 1 species
UACGGAAGGCAGCAGUGGGGAAUAUUGCACAAUGGGCGCAAGCCUGAUGCAGCCAUGCCGCGUGUAUGAAGAAGGCCUUCGGGUUGUAAAGUACUUUCAGUCGUGAGGAAGGUGUUAAGGUUAAUAACCUUAGCAAUUGACGUUAGCGACAGAAGAAGCACCGGCUAACUCCGUGCCAGCAGCCGCGGUAAUACGGAGGGUGCGAGCGUUAAUCGGAAUUACUGGGCGUAAAGGGCACGCAGGCGGUUAAUUAAGUUGGAUGUGAAAUCCCCGGGCUUAACCUGGGAAUGGCAUUCAAGACUGGUUAGCUAGAGUCUUGUAGAGGGGGUAGAAUUCCAUGUGUAGCGGUGAAAUGCGUAGAGAUGUGGAGGAUACCGGUGGCGAAGGCGGCCCCUGGACAAAGGACUGACGCUCAUGUGCGAAAGCGUGGGGAGCGAAAC